CACGUAGGCGGCUCUUUAAGUCAGGUGUGAAAUCCUGGAGCUCAACUCCAGAACUGCCCUUGAUACUGAGGAGCUUGAGUCCGGGAGAGGUGAGUGGAACUGCGAGUGUAGAGGUGAAAUUCGUAGAUAUUCGCAAGAACACCAGUGGCGAAGGCGGCUCACUGGCCCGGUACUGACGCUGAGGUGCGAAAGCGUGGGAGCAAACA
rnacentral:rRNA from 1 species